rnacentral:lncRNA from 1 species
CCAUGCCUAUCAACUAUAGAAUGGACAAACUAAAUAUGACAUAUUCAUGCCAUGAAAUACUAUUAAGCAGUAAAAAGGAACAAGGCGGUGAUAGGUAGGUACUUUAAUAGCACUGUGUCCAGGGAAAGUGGUCAGGCACAGAGAAGCAGGUAUUGCUGGUUCCACUUCCAUGACACUUCUAGAAAUAGUAUAAAUUUACUAAAACUCUCACACAUGUAUACUUCAAAUGAGUGAACUUCUGGUUUGCAAAUUAUACACAAGCUAUUUUUAUAAAUGGGAACAUAUUCUAAACACUGCUGCAUGCUAUGCUUUUGUUUAUCUCCACACUUUUACCUUGCAGGGAGUUCUGCAGCAGCUCUUCCUGUUUUUAGUGGUUACACACUAGCUGAGGUAGUCAGUCUGCUAAGCUCAGUUUUGAAAGCCUCUCUCUGCUUCCCUUCCCCUCUCCCCUCCCUUACUUCCAGGGAGGAGCCUUUCCUAAGUGGGGCUGCGACGCUGAUGGUGACCCACCCACACGCAAAGGUGGACGAGAAGCAGCAGUACGUCUCAGCCCCUGGAUCAGUCCUCACUCAUGAAGGACACUCCCCAGUUCCCUGGCUCCUGGUGGAACAACGGACUCACAAAAAGCAUAACACAGCAAGUCUUUUCCUUGCAAACUUGGAAAAAGUCAUGUAAAUUUAUAGCUGCAAAUUCCAAGCAACAUGAAAGCAUCGCCUUCCAGCUAAACUUCGCCUACGCCAGAUGAGAGAGCCAA